rnacentral:rRNA from 1 species
UACGAAGGGGGCUAGCGUUGCUCGGAAUUACUGGGCGUAAAGGGCGCGUAGGCGGACAGUUUAGUCAGAGGUGAAAGCCCAGGGCUCAACCUUGGAAUUGCCUUUGAUACUGGCUGUCUUGAGUUCGGGAGAGGUGAGUGGAAUGCCGAGUGUAGAGGUGAAAUUCGUAGAUAUUCGCAAGAACACCAGUGGCGAAGGCGGCUCACUGGCCCGGUACUGACGCUGAGAUGCGAAAGCGUGGGGAGCGAUCCGG